GAUGAACGCUGGCGGCUUGCCUAACACAUGCAAGUCGAGCGGCAGCAUGCUCACUGAAAUUCGAAUCAUAGAUUCUCGGAACAAGUCCGAGAAUGACAGAUUGGGGUUUUUGUGAGUGAUGGCGAGCGGCGGACGGCUGAGUAACGCGUGGGAACACACCCCAGACUGAGGGAUAACGCACCGAAAGGUGUGCUAAUACCGCAUACGGUCUUCGGAUUAAAACUUCGGUGGUUUGGGAGUGGCCCGCGUACGAUUAGAUAGUUGGUGAGGUAAAGGCUCACCAAGUCAACGAUCGUUAGCUGGUUUGAGAGAAUGAUCAGUCAGACUGGAACUGAGAUACGGUCCAGACUCCUACGGGAGGCAGCAGUGAGGAAUCUUCCACAAUGGGCGAAAGCCUGAUGGAGCAAUGCCGCGUGCAGGAUGAAGGCCUUCGGGUUGUAAACUGCUUUUAUUUGCGAAGAAUUAGACGGUAACAAAUGAAUAAGGGUCGGCUAACUACGUGCCAGCAGCCGCGGUCAUACGUAGGACCCAAGCGUUAUCCGGAGUGACUGGGCGUAAAGAGUUGCGUAGGCGGCGCGUCAAGCGAGUAAUGAAAUUUAUCGGCUCAACCGGUAAACUAUUAUCCGAACUGACGUGCUCGAGAAUGGUAGAGGUUACUGGAAUUCCCUGUGUAGGAGUGAAAUCCGUAGAUAUAGGGAGGAACACCAAUGGCGUAGGCAGGUAACUGGACCAUUUCUGACGCUAAGGCACGAAAGCGUGGGGAGCGAACCGGAUUAGAUACCCGGGUAGUCCACGCUGUAAACGAUGAAUGUUAACUGUCGGGGGUAUCGACCCCUUCGGUAGUAAAGCUAACGCGUUAAACAUUCCGCCUGUGGAGUACGGCCGCAAGGCUAAAACAUAAAGGAAUUGACGGGGACCCGCACAAGCGGUGGAGCGUGUUCUUUAAUUCGAUGUUAAACGAAGAACCUUACCCAGGCUUGACAUCCUCUGAAUUACUCCGAAAGGAGUGAGUGCUUUAUUGAACAGAGUGACAGAUCUUGCAUGGCCGUCGUCAGCUCGUGUCGUGAGAUGUUUGGUUAAGUCCAUCAACGAGCGCAACCCCUACUGUUAGUUGUAUUUUUCUAGCAGGACUGCCCCGGUAACGGGGAGGAAGGAGGGGAUGAUGUCAGGUCAGUAUUAGUCUUACGUCUGGGGCUAGAAACGCGCUACAAUGGUCAGUACAACGGGCAGCUAAGCGGCAACGCGGAGCAAAUCCCACCAAAACUGAUCCCAGUUCGGACUGGGGGCUGAAACUCGCCCCCACGAAGUCGGAAUCGCUAGUAAUCGCAGAUCAGCACGCUGCGGUGAAUACGUUCCCGGGUCUU
rnacentral:rRNA from 1 species